UACAGAGGGUGCAAGCGUUAAUCGGAAUUACUGGGCGUAAAGCGUGCGUAGACGGUUAUGUAAGUCGGGUGUGAAAGCCCCGGGCUCAACCUGGGAAUUGCAUUCGAGACUGCAUAGCUAGGGUGCGGAAGAGGGAAGCGGAAUUUCCGGUGUAGCGGUGAAAUGCGUAGAUAUCGGAAGGAACACCAGUGGCGAAGGCGGCUCGCUGGGACGUUACUGACGCUGAGACGCGAAAGCGUGGGGAGCAAACAGG
rnacentral:rRNA from 1 species